rnacentral:rRNA from 1 species
UACAGAGGGCUCAAGCGUUGUUCGGAUUCAUUGGGCGUAAAGGGCGUGUAGGUGGCGCCGUAAGUCGGGUGUGAAAUUUCGGAGCUUAACCCCGAAACUGCAUUCGAUACUGCGGUGCUUGAGGACUGGAGAGGAGACUGGAAUUCAUGGUGUAGCAGUGAAAUGCGUAGAGAUCAUGAGGAAGACCAGUGGCGAAGGCGGGUCUCUGGACAGUUCCUGACACUGAGACACGAAGGCCAGGGGAGCAAACGGG